AGCAGCCGCGGUAAUUCCAGCUCCAAUAGCGUAUAUUAAAGUUGUUGCAGUUAAAAAGCUCGUAGUUGAAUUUCGGGGUCAGUAGGCUGGUCGUGCCACGGGUAUGUACUGGUCUUACUGAUUCCUCCUUCCUGAUGAACCGUAAUGCCAUUAAUUUGGUGUUGCGGGGAAUCUGGACUGUUACUUUGGAAAAAUUAGAGUGUUUAAAGCAGGCUAACGCUUGAAUACAUUAGCAUGGAAUAAUGAAAUAGGACGAUCGAUCCUAUUUUGUUGGUUUCUAGGAUUGACGUAAUGAUUAAUAGGGAUAGUUGGGGGCAUUAGUAUUCAAUUGUCAGAGGUGAAAUUCUUGGAUUUAUUGAAGACUAACUACUGCGAAAGCAUUUGCCAAGGAUGUUUUCAUUAAUCAAGAACGAAAGUUAGGGGAUCGAAGACGAUCAGAUACCGUCGUAG
rnacentral:rRNA from 1 species